rnacentral:rRNA from 1 species
UACGUAGGGGGCUAGCGUUGUCCGGAAUCAUUGGGCGUAAAGCGCGUGUAGGCGGUCCGGUAAGUCCGCUGUGAAAGUCGGGGGCUCAACCCUGGGAUGCCGGUGGAUACUGUCGGGCUCGAGUCCGGAAGAGGCGAGUGGAAUUCCUGGUGUAGCGGUGAAAUGCGCAGAUAUCAGGAGGAACACCGGUGGCGAAGGCGGGUCUCUGGGCCGAUACUGACGCUGAGGAGCGAAAGCGUGGGGAGCGAACAGG